CUGUGUGAUUGCUGGCUGUGGAUGAAUGCUGAUCAAACUUUGGUCAUUAUGUAUUUGAACAUCAUCUGUCUUGACAGACUGUUGAGGACUAUACAGUUAUUAAGAAUAUAGCAGCUGUGAAUCAGGAUAGGACCCUGUCUGUUGUGUGCUCAUUCUUCUAGAUUAUUCUUAAGGGGAAAUGAAAAGGGAGGAGUAACAAAAACAAAACCCCUUAUGUAAUGAUCAACCAAGUUGGAGCAUAUGCCAGGCACUGCACAUGGGCUGUCUGUUCUCACGGCAUCUCUCAUUGAUAUGCACUGGUAUGUUGAGACUACUGUCUAUGAACUUGGGCAGUGAAGCAACGAUAAUGAAAUAUUUUUAGUUAGUGCUGUUUUAGUGUUCCAUAUAUUUGCUUCUGCUGCCUCAUAUUUUGGGUAUAUUCUAAAUAUUGUGAAGUUGAAUCUUUGUGUCCACAAAUUAUGGUACUAAAUUCAAACUUUCUUCCCUCUAUAUCCAUAGCCUUAAAUUUACAACAUUGUAGAACACUGACUAUAUUUCUUUGUGAUUUGCAUUUGUCCGUGGUUUUUUUUCAGGCAUGAUGAAUAAAUGCAGUACAUUGUUUCCAAAUGACAUAAUCUCCGGAAACCUAUAAAAUCAUUUUGUGUUUAACUGGCUGUUAACACUUCUGCCAUGUUAACAGCUAGAAUUUUAUGGAGACGAAUAGGAAGCUUACUGCUUAUGUAAGUCCUGCUUUGGAACUGCAGUGCAAGCUGUUCACAACAGAAAUGCAAAUAGCUUCACAAUCUUGAGCCUUCCAGUCUGCUCUUUGCUCCUGGAUUACUGUGAUGGCACAUUUACAUUUACUUUGACAACACUACCUGCCACUGAUAAAGAGUGUCUGCCUAAGAGCUCUGCUUCCUGCAAGGGAGAACAGCUGCAGUGUUCCAAUUACAUCUCAGUCCCAAGAACCUCAAGGACACUGCUCUUCUGCAAAGGCAAGUUUUGGAUGUUUUAAUCUUGACAAGGUAGGGUUUUUUUGUUGUUUGUUUGUUUGUUUUUUUAAUAUCAAAAAGUGCAAAAACAUUAAAAAGCGAAACAAAAGUCCUGAAAUGAUGUAAAAACUGUUUCCAAAUCUUUUAUUUAUUUAUUUAUUAAAUCAUUGAGCAUUUCUCAUUUGAGCAUUGAGGAUUUUAUUUCUCUGAUGUAUCUAAUCAAUUUAUUAUGGAUCUCUUCAAAUUCUGUUUUCCUCCCUGUGUAACACCGAAGCCUAGAGUAGGAUUUCUUCACUUGCCUGUGAAUGUGAACUUCUUAUUCAGGAGAGCCAUCUGAUGAGUCAUUCUUUCAUUCUUUGAGUGAAAAUCAAUUUUUUAUCUCUUUUUUUUUCUGCAAGGAUCUGGGGUGAAAAGUGUGAUAAUGUUCUCUGUCACAGAUCUGUGCAUUCCUAAAGAGAAGUUCUCUUGGGAGAGAAUGUAUUACAGGUAAUGAUUUUGCUUGCCAGCCCUGUAAUGCAGGGAUAGCUACAUUCACUGGAGUUCUUUUGAAUACUCCUGUAGGUUUUUUCAUCAAAGACCAAACCCAAAUCCCACCAAUGUUUGUGGGAACCUGCUAGCUUAUUUAGGCUUGCAUUACUACUAUAGAAACUACAGAGCACUUGAAGGAAGUGCUUAUAUCUGGGCACUUUUCAUCAGAGACUCUCUAAUGUUUUUUCUCUGUUAGCAUAGACAGCAUUGCAAGCAUUUGACUUCUUGGAAAAGCUUAUUUCUUCAGGUGGGAGUUCAGAAGUGUUGGGCCAGGUUGGUGUCAUGGCACAACCUGUGUCCAGGCACUCACAGCACACUGCACUCAAAUACUGGGAUACUAGGAAGGGACAAGUGGUUUCUGCUGAAUUCCUGCUCUAAGUUUACUGGGAUCAGAGCAGCCUGCAUGGAGCCCUGCCUCCUUCCCACCUGUGUGCAGGUGCUUUGCUGCCUGGUAUUGCCCCUUGAGCUUUAGUUCUGCUUUUCAGAUCUGUGCCU
rnacentral:lncRNA from 1 species